rnacentral:rRNA from 1 species
GCCUACAACAUAGAAAAUUAUAMACAAAAUAUUCGCCAGAGUACUACUAGCAAAVGCUAAAAACUCAADGACUUGGCGGUGCCUUAUAUCCAUCUAGAGGAGCCUGUUCUGUAAUHGAUAACCCCGAUAUACCUCACCAACCCUUGCUUAAUCAGCCUAUAUACCGCCAUCUUCAGAAAACCCUAAAAAGGAAUCAUAGUAAGCACAAGCACAAACAUAAAAACGUUAGGUCAAGGUGUAGCCUAUGGGUUGGAAAGAAAUGGGCUACAUUCCUCGAAUCGAGGAACAUUUUACGAAAACCUAUGUGAAAACAACAGUUAAAGGUGGAUUUAGUAGUAAAUUGAGAAUAGAGUGCUUAAUUGAAUAAGGCUAUGAGGCACGCACACACCGCCCGUCACCCUCCUCAAACAAAAAAAUGUWAASCACUAUAUUAAAACUUAGACAUCAACCCGUAAGAGGAGAUAAGUCGUAACAAGGUAAGUGUACUGGAAAGUGCACUUGGAUAACACAAA